rnacentral:rRNA from 1 species
AUUGAACGCUGGCGGCAUGCUUUACACAUGCAAGUCGAACGGCAGCACGGGGGCAACCCUGGUGGCGAGUGGCGAACGGGUGAGUAAUACAUAGGAACGUGUCCUGAAAUGGGGGAUAGCUCGGCGAAAGCCGGAUUAAUACCGCAUACGAUCCACGGAUGAAAGCAGGGGAUUCGCAAGAACCUUGCGUUUCUGGAGCGGCCUAUGUCUGAUUAGCUAGUUGGCGGGGUAAAAGCCCACCAAGGCGACGAUCAGUAGCUGGUCUGAGAGGAUGAUCAGCCACACUGGGACUGAGACACGGCCCAGACUCCUACGGGAGGCAGCAGUGGGGAAUUUUGGACAAUGGGGCAACCCUGAUCCAGCCAUGCCGCGUGAGUGAAGAAGGCC